rnacentral:rRNA from 1 species
UACGUAGGUGGCGAGCGUUGUCCGGAAUUACUGGGUGUAAAGCGCGUGUAGGCGGCAGGCCAAGUCGGUGGUGAAAGCGCCCGGCUCAACUGGGCGAGGUCCAUGGAAACUGGUCAGCUGGAGGACGGUAGAGGCGAGUGGAAUUCCCGGUGUAGUGGUGAAAUGCGUAGGGAUCGGGAGGAACACCUGUGGCGAAGGCGGCUCGCUGGGCCGGUCCUGACGCUGAAACGCGAAGGCGUGGGGAGCGAACGGG